UCAACAUUUACUGGUCAUGUAAGAAGACUCGCUUCUAAUGUUGAAAUCAACACAUGCCUUGAUGGUAGUUCUUUUUCAUGCUUCUGAGUAUAUGCUUCUUUUUUUUUAGUUAGUGCAUACCCUUAUUUUUGUUUUCUUCUAAUUCCCUUCUAGGAAUUAUGUGUAGGGGGCAAUGGAAUUGUCAAUGAGUUUAUUUAAAAUAGGGUAGCAUGAGAAAAAUGCGAAGAGGAUUCAUCGAAGAUGAUUGAAGAGGAUCUUCACAACAUACAUGCCAAAUUGCCAAUAUGCCAAAGUGCUUCAUUGUUGUAUGAAUCAUCAAGUAUCCAGUGCUAGGUGCUAAUAUCUCAGUUAUCUCAAGCCAUCUCCUUGGAAGAAAUCAAGGAAUCUAUGUCUAAUAUGUAGCCAUUGUCCUCUGUGAAUUCUCUCAUGUCCUCGAGGAGAGUGAUGGAUUUCGAUAUGAUCUUUAGUCUUUUUUUAUGAACUGGGAGUGGGUAUUUGGAAUUA